UGCCAGCCGCCGCGGUAAUACGGAGGGUUCAAGCGUUAAUCGGAAUUACUGGGCGUAAAGCGCGCGUAGGCGGUUUAGCAAGUUGUAUGUGAAAGCCCUGGGCUCAACCUAGGAACUGCAUCCAAAACUACUAAGCUAGAGUGCGAGAGAGGAGAGUAGAAUUUCUGGUGUAGCGGUGAAAUGCGUAGAUAUCAGAAGGAAUACCAAUGGCGAAGGCAGCUCUCUGGCUCGUCACUGACGCUAGUUGCGAAAGCGGGGUUAGCACUCAGUAUUACAUA
rnacentral:rRNA from 1 species